rnacentral:rRNA from 1 species
GGCUCAGAACGAACGCUGGCGGCAAGCUUAACACAUGCAAGUCGAACGGAUUAUCUUUUAUAGCUUGCUAUAAAAGAUAAUUAGUGGCAGACGGGUGAGUAAUGCAUAGGAAUCUACCUAGUAGUAUGGGAUAGCCACUAGAAAUGGUGGGUAAUACUGUAUAAUCCCUGCGGGGGAAAGAUUUAUCGCUAUUAGAUGAGCCUAUGUUAGAUUAGCUAGUUGGUAGGGUAAAGGCCUACCAAGGCGAUGAUCUAUAGCUGGUCUGAGAGGAUGAUCAGCCACACUGGAACUGAGAUACGGUCCAGACUCCUACGGGAGGCAGCAGUGGGGAAUAUUGGACAAUGGGCGCAAGCCUGAUCCAGCUAUGCCGCGUGAGUGAGGAAGGCCUUAGGGUUGUAAAACUCUUUCAGUAGGGAAGAUAAUGACGGUACCUACAGAAGAAGUCCCGGCAAACUCCGUGCCAGCAGCCGCGGUAAUACGGAGGGGGCAAGCGUUGUUCGGAAUUAUUGGGCGUAAAGGGCAUGUAGGCGGUUCGGUAAGUUAAAGGUGAAAUGCCAGGGCUUAACCCUGGAGCUGCUUUUAAUACUGCCAGACUAGAGUCCGGGAGAGGAUAGCGGAAUUCCUA